rnacentral:rRNA from 1 species
AGUGAACGCUGGCGGCAUAUCUUACACAUGCAAGUUGAACGGCAGCAUGAUCUAGCUUGCUAUAAUUGUCAGCUAAGUGGCGCACGGGUGAGUAAUAUAUAGGUAACAUGCCCUUAAGUGGGGGAUAACAGUUGGAAACGAUUGCUAAUACCCUAUAUGCCUUUUGUACGUAAGUAUGUAAAGGGAAAGAUUUAUUGCUUAAGGAUUGGCCUGUACGGUAUCAGUUAGUUGGUGAGGUAAUGGCUCACCAAGACGAUGACACCUAACUGGUUUGAGAGGAUGAUCAGUCACACUGGAACUGAGACACGGUCCAGACUCCUACGGGAGCAGCAUG